rnacentral:lncRNA from 1 species
UUCAAUAUAACAAAGCAAUUGAACUAAUAGAAGUGAAUUUGAACAUGAAGAAAGACUACUUUUAUGAAUUGGGUCUAUUAGUAUGACAAUUGACUAUACUCAAGCUAUCUAAAAUCAAUUAUCAAACUACAAAACACCAAGGCUUACUACUUCCGUCUUAAUUCAACACAAAAUCAAUUCUACGACUAUCAAUUCAAAAAUACUUCUAUAUUUUUAUCAAUUCAUCUCUAACUUACUGAUCUCUAGCUUACUUAUUAUAUUCAGUUUCUCAAUUCAUCACUUAGAAUUCAAUAUCUUCACUUAACACAACACAAUUCGAUAAUCUCAAUUCUCAAGAUCACAAAUUUUCUCCAAAACGGUGAAUCCAAAGUCAUAUUCCACAAUAUUCGAAUCAUAAUUUCAACAAUACUUCUUUCAAUCACAAUUCUUCAUAAGCAAAUAAUAAAAGUAAAGAAAAUAAAGAGGUAGCACCAAGCUUACCUCGGCUUACGACUAUCACAGUCUGGCCCCGAUCUCCCUUUUCUCAACCUCUUUAUCCUACCAAAAGAUGGACUGUCAA